rnacentral:rRNA from 1 species
GACGAACGCUGGCGGCGUGCUUAACACAUGCAAGUCGAACGGUAAGGCCCUUUCGGGGGUACACGAGUGGCGAACGGGUGCGUAACACGUGGGUGAUCUGCCCUGCACUUUGGGAUAAGCCUGGGUAACUGGGUCUAAUACCGGAUAGGACUACGCGAUGCAUGCCGAUUGGUGGAAAGCGUUUGCGGUGUGGGAUGGGCCCUCGGCCUAUCAGCUUGUUGGUGGGGUGAUGGCCUACCAUGGCGACGACGGGUAGCCGGCCUGAGAGGGUGUCCGGCCACACUGGGACUGAGAUACGGACCAGACUCCUACGGGAGGCAGUAGUGGGGAAUAUUGCACAAUGGGCGCAAGCCUGAUGCAGCGACGCCGCGUGGGGGAUGACGGCCUUCGGGUUGUAAACCCCUUUCAGCACAGACGAAGCGUAAGUGACGGUAUGUGCAGAAGAAGCACCGGCCAACUACGUG